GCGCAAACUUCUCCAGAAGCUGGUCUGAUGAAGAAUCUCCAUCGAUCUUCUGGCGAAUGUCAUCCAAACUUAAACUCAAGUUCUGAGGAGGACUUGGAGUUAAGCAUGAGACCAACUAUUUUGAAGAAGCCAGAUACCGUGAUAAACAUGAAGAAAACUCAAAAAGUUGAAAAUUUUAAGCAAUUGCAAUGUUUGCAGGCUCACCAUGCAGCUAAUAUUAAAGGUAAUUAUGCUUUUUUCGGCUGAAGUUGGACUUCGUUUUAGGUUUAAGGAUGGUAAUCAUAUCGAAGGAGCUUGUAUAAAUGUGAAGUUAUAGCAGGAACUGUCAAUGUUACAAAUUAUAAAAACUUAUAGAGCAGCUUGUUUCUUAUUCUCAACUUAUUUUCAAAGAACUCUGAUGAGAAUAGUUGUGUUAAUUGACAAACUGUAAUGAAUCCAAAUUAUGCCUUUUGUUUUUGAAAAAAUUUCCCCAUUAUUAAAAUAUGGCUU